CUGGCGGCAUGCCUAAUACAUGCAAGUCGAGCGAAUGAUGAGAAGCUUGCUCUCUGAUUAGCGGCGGACGGGUGAGUAACACGUGGGCAACCUACCCUAUAGAUUGGGAUAACACAGGGAAACCUGUGCUAAUACCGAAUAAUACAUUUUCUUUCAUGAGAAGAUGUUGAAAGAUGGUUUCGGCUAUCACUAUAGGAUGGGCCCGCGGCGCAUUAGCUAGUUGGUGAGGUAAUGGCUCACCAAGGCAACGAUGCGUAGCCGACCUGAGAGGGUGAUCGGCCACACUGGGACUGAGACACGGCCCAGACUCCUACGGGAGGCAGCAGUAGGGAAUCUUCCACAAUGGGCGAAAGCCUGAUGGAGCAAUGCCCGCGUGAGUGAUGAAGGAUUUCGGUUCGUAAAACUCUGUUGUAAGGGAAGAACAAGUAGCGUAGUAACUGGCGUUACCUUGACGGUACCUUAUUAGAAAGCCACGGCUAACUACGUGCCAGCCGCGGC
rnacentral:rRNA from 1 species